rnacentral:rRNA from 1 species
AGUGAACGCUGGCGGUAGGCCUAACACAUGCAAGUCGAACGGCAGCACAGAGGAGCUUGCUCCUUGGGUGGCGAGUGGCGGACGGGUGAGGAAUACAUCGGAAUCUACUCUGUCGUGGGGGAUAACGUAGGGAAACUUACGCUAAUACCGCAUACGACCUACGGGUGAAAGCAGGGGAUCUUCGGACCUUGCGCGAUUGAAUGAGCCGAUGUCGGAUUAGCUAGUUGGCGGGGUAAAGGCCCACCAAGGCGACGAUCCGUAGCUGGUCUGGGAGGAUGAUCAGCCACACUGGAACUGAGACACGGUCCAGACUCCUACGGGAGGCAGCAGUGGGGAAUAUUGGACAAUGGGCGCAAGCCUGAUCCAGCCAUACCGCGUGGGUGAAGAAGGCCUUCGGGUUGUAAAGCCCCUUUGUUGGGAAAGAAAUCCAUCUGGUUAAUACCCGGAUGGGAUGACGGUACCCAAAGAAUAAGCACCGGCUAACUUCGUGCCAGCCGCCGCCGUAC